rnacentral:rRNA from 1 species
GACGAACGCUGGCGGCGUGCUUAACACAUGCAAGUCGAGCGGUAAGGCUCCUUCGGGAGUACACGAGCGGCGAACGGGUGAGUAACACGUGAGCAAUCUGCCCUUCACACAGGGAUAACUCCGGGAAACCGAAGCUAAUACCUGAUACGACCACUUCAGGCAUCUGAUGGUGGUGGAAAGUUCCGGCGGUGAAGGAUGAGCUCGCGGCCUAUCAGCUUGUUGGUGGGGUAACGGCCCACCAAGGCAACGACGGGUAGCCGGCCUGAGAGGGUGACCGGCCACACUGGGACUGAGACACGGCCCAGACUCCUACGGGAGGCAGCAGUGGGGAAUAUUGGACAAUGGGCGAAAGCCUGAUCCAGCAACGCCGCGUGAGGGAUGACGGCCUUCGGGUUGUAAACCUCUUUCAGCAGGGACGAAGCGCAAGUGACGGUACCUGCAGAAGAAGCACCGGCCAACUACGUGCCAGCCGCCGCCGUAAUAC